AUUGAACGCUGGCGGCAGGCCUAACACAUGCAAGUCGAGCGGAGCGGCGGACGGGUGCGUAAUGCCUAGGUAUCUGCCUGUUAGUGGUGGAUAACGUCCGGUAAUGGGCGCUAAUACCGCAUACUAUCAGAUUAGCCUAGGUCGGAUUAGCUAGUUGGUGGGGUAAAGGCCUACCAAGGCGACGAUCCGUAACUGGUCUGAGAGGAUGAUCAGUCACACUGGGACUGAGACACGGUCCAGACUCCUACGGGAGGCAGCAGUGGGGAAUAUUGGACAAUGGGCGAAAGCCUGAUCCAGCCAUGCCGCGUGUAUGAAGAAGGUCUUCGGAUUGUAAAGCACUUUAAGUUGGGAGGCGUUACCAGCAGAAUAAGCACCGGCUAACUUCGUGCCAGCCGCCGCGGUAAUUC
rnacentral:rRNA from 1 species